GGCUGUCGAGCGCCCCGCAAGGGGAGCGGCAGACGGGUGAGUAACGCGUGGGAAUCUACCGUACCCUACGGAAUAACGCAUGGAAACGUGUGCUAAUACCGUAUACGCCCUAUGGGGGAAAGAUUAUCGGGGUAUGAUGAGCCCGCGUUGGAUUAGCUAGUUGGUGGGGUAAAGGCCUACCAAGGCGACGAUCCAUAGCUGGUCUGAGAGGAUGAUCAGCCACAUUGGGACUGAGACACGGCCCAAACUCCUACGGGAGGCAGCAGUGGGGAAUAUUGGACAAUGGGCGCAAGCCUGAUCCAGCCAUGCCGCGUGAGUGAUGAAGGCCUUAGGGUUGUAAAGCUCUUUCACCGAUGAAGAUAAUGACGGUAGUCGGAGAAGAAGCCCCGGCUAACUUCGUGCCAGCAGCCGCGGUAAUACGAAGGGGGCUAGCGUUGUUCGGAAUUACUGGGCGUAAAGCGCACGUAGGCGGAUAUUUAAGUCAGGGGUGAAAUCCCAGAGCUCAACUCUGGAACUGCCUUUGAUACUGGGUAUCUUGAGUAUGGAAGAGGUAAGUGGAAUUCCGAGUGUAGAGGUGAAAUUCGUAGAUAUUCGGAGGAACACCAGUGGCGAAGGCGGCUUACUGGUCCAUUACUGACGCUGAAGUGCGAAAGCGUGGGGAGCAAACAGGAUUAGAUACCCUGGUAGUCCACGCCGUAAACGAUGAAUGUUAGCCGUCGGGCAGUUGACUGGUCGGUGGCGCAGCUAACGCAUUAAACAUUCCGCCUGGGGAGUACGGUCGCAAGAUUNAAACUCAAAGGAUUGACGGGGGCCCGCACNAGCGGUGGAGCAUGUGGUUUUAAUUCGAGCAACGCGCAGAACCUUUACAGCUCCUGACUUCCCGAUCGCGGACAGUGGAGACAUUGUC
rnacentral:rRNA from 1 species